rnacentral:tRNA from 1 species
GGAGAAGUGGCCGAGUGGUCGAAGGCGGGCGCUUGGAGAGCGUCUGGGCUGCGAGGUCCCGUGGGUUCGAAUCCCACCUUCUCCGCCA